AGAAUCAACGCUGGCGGCGUGCCUAACACAUGCAAGUCGAACGAGAAAGUGGAGCAAUCCAUGAGUAAAGAGGCGCACGGGUGAGUAACACGUGACUAACCUACCCUCGAGUGGGGAAUAACCUGGGGAAACCCGGGCUAAUACCGCAUAAUACCCACGGGUCAAAGGAGCAAUUCGCUUGAGGAGGGGGUCGCGGCAGAUUAGUUAGUUGGCGGGGUAAUGGCCCACCAAGACGAUGAUCUGUA
rnacentral:rRNA from 1 species